rnacentral:rRNA from 1 species
CCUACGGGCGGCUGCAGUGGGGAAUAUUGGACAAUGGGGGCAACCCUGAUCCAGCCAUGCCGUGUGUGUGAAGAAGGCCCUCGGGUUGUAAAGCACUUUCAGUGAGGAAGAACGCCUGGUGGUUAAUACCCAUCAGGAAAGACAUCACUCACAGAAGAAGCACCGGCUAACUCCGUGCCAGCAGCCGCGGUAAUACGGAGGGUGCGAGCGUUAAUCGGAAUUACUGGGCGUAAAGCGCGCGUAGGUGGCUUGAUAAGCCGGUUGUGAAAGCCCCGGGCUCAACCUGGGAACGGCAUCCGGAACUGUCAAGCUAGAGUGCAGGAGAGGAAGGUAGAAUUUCCGGUGUAGCGGUGAAAUGCGUAGAGAUCGGGAGGAAUACCAGUGGCGAAGGCGGCCUUCUGGACUGACACUGACACUGAGGUGCGAAAGCGUGGGUAGCAAACAGGAUUAGAUACCCGAGUAGUC